rnacentral:rRNA from 1 species
UGAUUUAAUGGCCGCGGUAUUCUGACCGUGCAAAGGUAGCAUAAUCAUUAGUCUAUUAAUUGUUGACUUGCAUGAAUGGUUGGACGAGAUAUUUACUGUCUCAUAAUUAUUAAUUGAACUUAAUUUUUUAGUUAAAAAGCUUAAAUUUUUUUGAAGGACGAGAAGACCCUAUAGAUCUUUAUUAUAAUUAUUAAUAUAAUUUUUAGUUUAUUAUUUAUAUUUUAAUAAUUAUUUUUUUGUUGGGGUGACAUGGAGAUAGAAUUAACUCUUUAUUUUUUAUACAUUAAUUUAUGUUUUAUUGACCCUUUAUUAUUGUUAUAAGAUAUAGAUACCUUAGGGAUAACAGCGUAAUUUUUUUUGAGAGUCCAUAUCGACAAUUGAGAUUGCGACCUCGAUGUUGGAUUAAGAAUACUUUAAGGUGUAGAUGCUUUAAAAAUUAGGUCUGUUCGACCUUUAAAUUCUUACAUGAUCUGAGUU